CUCGGAUGAAGGUGGUGAUGGUGGGUGGGGUGGAUCCAAAGGAGGCGGCAGUUGGGGCGGUGGUGGUGAUCAAGGUGCAGGUAAAAAGGAGGGUGGUUGGGGAUCUUGAAAGGAGGAAACUGGUGAUACUAAGAUCAAGUAAGAGUUGCAGCCUCAAAAUUCUAAUGAAGACUUUUUUUUUUAUUGUUAUUAAUGAAUUCUGAAGUGUUUUAAGAUAUUGAGACCUCUCUUUUGUUUGUGCAAAGAUGGAUUGCAUUUGUUUUUAAGAAUAUUGUAUGAAUCAUGCUUUUAUGGAUUCUCAUAACCCAACGACACCCCUCUGCA